GCUUGGAUUACAGAGCCUGGGGAGGGUUUAAACGAAUUCCCUACAAACCGUUUACUGAACGGCGGGUCAUUCGGUAGUUUCCACACGAAUUAAUGGAAGUCUGGAGGUCUGAGCGGUGUUUGCCUAGUCGAGUGUCCGAUUUUAGUUCCAGACACUCGACGGCGACACACUGCUGUUCGGGAGUUUAAGAUGGCUGCCGCAACGUGUUCGUUUCCCGAAUGGCGGCCACCCAGAGGACAAAACCACACAUUACAUCGAUUGCCAAUUACCCGUUUGCAACGUUUGCAACAAUUGGAGGCACACUUCUUCCAGGGUGGUCUGGUUGUUCGGUAGUUUCACUCAAUAUAAUGAAUGGAGUGAUUCUACCGAACAAUCAGGGGAAUGCUGCAUACACAUAU